UACAGAGGCCUCAAGCGUUGUUCGGAUUCAUUGGGCGUAAAGGGUGCGCAGGCGGUCGGGUAAGUCGGAUGUGAAAUCCUGGAGCUCAACCUCAGAACUGCAUUCGAUACUGCCUGGCUAGAGGAUUGGAGAGGAGAGUGGAAUUCACGGUGUAGCAGUGAAAUGCGUAGAGAUCGUGAGGAAGACCAACGGCGAAGGCAGCUCUCUGGACAAUUCCUGACGCUCAGGCACGAAGGCCAGGGGAGCAAACCGGG
rnacentral:rRNA from 1 species